UCAAGCUAGAAAGAGCGCAGGGCGAAUGCCUUGGCAUUGGGAGCCGAUGAAGGACGUGGUAAGCUGCGAAAAGCUGCGGGGAAUUGCAAGCAAGUAUUGAUCCGCAGAUGUCCGAAUGGAGCAAUCCGCUGUAUAGAAGAUACAGCAUCAUAUACUGAAUCAAAUAGGUAUAUGAGGGGAACCGCCUGAACUGAAACAUCUAAGUAGGGCGAGGAAGAGACAUCAAACGAGAUUCCGUAAGUAGUGGCGAGCGAACGCGGAAGAGGGCAAACCGGGAGUCGAAAGACUUCCGGGGUACGGAGCGCAUUUAAGACUCAAGUUGUUAACCGAACGGCAUGGGAAGGCCGGUCAGAGAGUGUGAGAACCACGUAGGUGAAAACGGAGAGAGCUGCGCAGGAUCCAGAGUACGGCCAGACACGUGAAACCUGGUCGGAAUACGGGGGGACCACCCUCCAACCCUAAAUACUACCCAGUGACCGAUAGCGUAUAGUACUGUGAAGGAAAGGUGAAAAGCACCCCGGGAGGGGAGUGAAAAAGAACCUGAAACCCUGUGCCUACAAGCACCUAGAGCGCGUCAAAGCGUGAUAGGGUACUUUUUGUAGAACGGUCCGGCGAGCGAUUGUAUGCAGCAAGGUUAAGGACUUAAGGUCUGGAGCCGAAGCGAAAGCGAGUUUGAAAAGGGCGUUAAGUUGCAUAUAAUGGGCCCGAAACCGGGUGACCUACCCAUGGUCAGGUUGAAGUGGAAGUAAAAUUCCAUGGAGGACCGAACCGACCUCCGUUGAAAAGGCGGCGGAUGAACUGUGGGUAGCGGAGAAAUUCCAAUCGAACCCGGAGAUAGCUGGUUCUCCCCGAAAUAGUUUUAGGACUAGCCUCAAGUUAGAUACCUGGAGGUAAAGCACUGAAUAGCCUAGCGGCCGAGAGGUUAGCGAAGCUUAUCAAACUCAGAAUGCCAGAGUAUUGAUGCUUGGGAGUCAGACAGUGUCAGAUAAAUGUCAUUGUCAAAAGGGAAACAGCCCAGAUCUACAGCUAAGGUCCCAAAGUCAGGUUAAGUGGAAAACGAUGUGAAGAUACGCAGACAACCAGGAUGUUGGCUCAGAAGCAGCCACUCAUUCAAAGAGUGCGUAAUAGCUCACUGGUCGAGCGUCUUUGCGCGGAGAAUUUAACGGGGCUAAACCUGACACCGAAGCUUAGGCAAUGUAGUAAUACAUUGGGUAGGGGAGCGUUGUAUACGCGGUGAAACAGUAGCGCAAGCGGCUGUGGAGUGUAUAGAAGUGAGAAUGCCGGAAUGAGUAGCGCGAAUGCAGUGAGAAUCUGCAUGGCCGAAAGCCUCAGGUUUCUGGAGGAAGGUUCGUCCGCUCCAGGUUAGUCGGGAGCUAAGGUGAGGCCUAACGGCGUAGCCGAUGCACAGACGGUAGAGAUUCCGUCACCACCAAAAGAGUUAAACACAGGGACACAUUUGAAGUCUCGGAGCCGGGUGUUGGUUCCGGUAGCGAUCGAGGGAAGUUAGUACCGAAGUCCGGGAUGGAAGAUGGCGAGAAAAGCUGUGUGUAUUUCUGCGGUGCCCGUACCGCAAACCGACACAGGUAGGUAGGAAGAAGAUUCUAAGGCCAACGGGAGAAGGGUUGUUAAGGAACUCGGCAAAUUGACCCCGUAACUUCGGGAGAAGGGGUGCUCCAGAGAUGGAGCCGCAGAGAAUCGGCCCAAGCAACUGUUUACCAAAAACACAGGUUUGUGCUAAAUCGAAAGAUGACGUAUACGAGCUGACGCCUGCCCGGUGCUGGAAGGUUAAGAGGAGAUGUGCAAGCAUUGAAUCGAAGCCCCAGUGAACGGCGGCCGUAACUAUAACGGUCCUAAGGUAGCGAAAUUCCUUGUCAGGUAAG
rnacentral:rRNA from 1 species